CAAUAGCGUAUAUUAAAGUUGUUGCGGUUAAAAAGCUCGUAGUUGGAUUUCUGCCGAGGACGACCGGUCCGCCCUCUGGGUGAGUAUCUGGCUCGGCCUGGGCAUCUUCUUGGAGAACGUAGCUGCACUUGACUGUGUGGUGCGGUAUCCAGGACUUUUACUUUGAGGAAAUUAGAGUGUUUCAAGCAGGCUUACGCCUUGAAUACAUUAGCAUGGAAUAAUAAGAUAGGACCUCGGUUCUAUUUUGUUGGUUUCUAGAGCUGAGGUAAUGAUUAAUAGGGAUAGUUGGGGGCAUUCGUAUUUAACUGUCAGAGGUGAAAUUCUUGGAUUUGUUGAAGACGGACUACUGCGAAAGCAUCUGCCAUGGAUGUUCUCAUUGA
rnacentral:rRNA from 1 species